rnacentral:rRNA from 1 species
UACGUAGGGUGCAAGCGUUGUCCGGAAUUAUUGGGCGUAAAGAGCUCGUAGGCGGUUUGUCGCGUCUGCCGUGAAAGUCCGGGGCUCAACUCCGGAUCUGCGGUGGGUACGGGCAGACUAGAGUGAUGUAGGGGAGACUGGAAUUCCUGGUGUAGCGGUGAAAUGCGCAGAUAUCAGGAGGAACACCGGUGGCGAAGGCGGGUCUCUGGGCUGGAAUUGACGCUGAGGAGCGAAAGUGUGGGUAGCAAACAGG